UGAAAGGCGUGCGUAGGUGGUUUGUUAAGUCUGAUGUGAAAGCCCUGGGCUCAACCUGGGAAUGGCAUUGGAAACUGGCUUACUAGAGUGCGGUAGAGGGUAGUGGAAUUCCCGGUGUAGCAGUGAAAUGCGUAAAUAUCGGGAGGAACAUCUGUGGCGAAGGCGACUACCUGGACCAGCACUGACACUGAGGCACGAAAGCGUGGGGAGCAAACAGGAUUAGAUACCCUGGUAGUCCACGCCCUAAACGAUGCGAACUGGAUGUUGGGAGCAACUUGGCUCUCAGUAUCGAAGCUAACGCGUUAAGUUCGCCGCCUGGGAAGUACGGUCGCAAGACUGAAACUCAAAUGAAUUGACGGA
rnacentral:rRNA from 1 species